GACGAACGCUGGCGGCGUGCCUAAUACAUGCAAGUCGAACGCAGUGGGGACGGGUGAGUAACACGUGGGUAACCUCCCAUCAGAGGGGAUAACACUUGGAAACAGGUGCUAAACCGAUACUGAUGGAUGGACCCGCGGUGCAUUAGCUAGUUGGUGAGGUAACGGCUCACCAAGGCCACGAUGCAUAGCCGACUGGCUGGGGUGAUCGGGUGCACGGGGACAGAAACACGGCCACGCCGCCUAGGGGCGGAAGCGGUGGGGAAUUGUCGGCAAUUGCCGAAAGGCUGACCGAGCAACGCCGCGUGGGUGCAGGGGGUUUUCGGGGUGUAAAGCUCUGUUGUUAUAUCAGCGGUAGCUGAACAGAAAGCCCCGGCUAACUACGUGCCAGCAGCCGCGGUAAUUC
rnacentral:rRNA from 1 species